ensembl:lncRNA
CUCAAAGUCCGACGCUGGUCUGUCCUCACUCCUUAUCUCUGUGAAGAGUGGGCUGAAGGAGCCCAAAUCCACCACUGGUCUCUGGAGAAGUUCUGUCUCCUGGUCCUCUCCAUGUCACCCAAUCAGCUGCUUCGACCGGCCAUGCAGGAAGCACUGCUCUUCCUCACGGAGAACGUGCUGCUGUUGUUGCCGCGGCAACUCAAACAGUGGUACCAGUACCUGAAGCUCCCCUUCCCCACCACGGCAACCGCCUCCUGAAAAAGAAAAGGGAUCCGCCUACUUGCACUGGUGCUCUCUCUGUUCUUCACUACCUGUCUACAAUGUGGGCCUGGGACUUACAGGCCUGGGUUGAGUCUGAAAUGGCUCCUUCU